rnacentral:misc_RNA from 1 species
AAGUCGUAACAAGGUUUCCGUAGGUGAACCUGCGGAAGGAUCAUUAACACGUAUCCAACGUUAAACCCCCCGUGAACCUUCAGAGCGUUCUUGCCGCCCGUGACAAUCAGCAAUCCUGGUAUUGAUUCAGGACCUCUGCUGUCAUGUGUUAGGGAAACCAUAGCGGCAAUUGAGAGCUUUUAUCGUUAGUUUGGCGUCCUGGCCGGGCGAGUGAAAGUGUCGCUAGACGGUUUCUAGGGUAAGGCUUCGCCAUCGCUGGAGGCUCACCACGUAGCCGGCGGACAAACUACAGGGCUAUAUGCCCCCUAAUGACGACCAAGUUAAAUAGGGCCUCUGUCACAUAGCAAGUGCGCCGUGCCAGAGGAAAAGUACAACUGUUAACAAUGGAUAUCUUGGUUCUC